rnacentral:rRNA from 1 species
AACGAACGCCGGCGGCAUGCCUAACACAUGCAAGUCGAACGAGACCUUCGGGUCUAGUGGCGCACGGGUGCGUAACGCGUGGGAACCUGCCUUUAGGUUCGGAAUAACUCAGAGAAAUUUGAGCUAAUACCGGAUAAUGUCUUCGGACCAAAGAUUUAUCGCCUUUAGAUGGGCCCGCGUUGGAUUAGCUAGUUGGUGGGUAAAGGCCUACCAAGGCGACGAUCCAUAGCUGGUCUGAGAGGAUGAUCAGCCACACUGGGACUGAGACACGGCCCAGACUCCUACGGGAGGCAGCAGUGGGGAAUAUUGGACAAUGGGCGAAAGCCUGAUCCAGCAAUGCCGCGUGAGUGAUGAAGGCCUUAGGGUUGUAAAAGCUCUUUUACCCGAGAUGAUAAUGACAGUAUCGGGAGAAUAAGCUCCGGCUAACUCCGUGCCAGCA